AUACAAUUAAUAUUAUCGUUAAAAGUACUUGGUAGUUUAAAGAUAAUGAAAAGGAGGGGUCAGAAUUGACAAGAAACAUACAGAGUCGAAAUGGUUAAAAACCAUAAUUAGUGAAGGAGGUUGGCAAAUUAAAAGUGGUAUGCUGACGAGUGAAGUAAGGAGGGACAUUUAUAGGAAUAAGCAAACAAUAUUCCGUGGAAGUUUUAGACUGUCCGAUAUUCGUCAAAGCAAAAAACAUCUUCAACCAACUUUCAGCGAUGGAGGAAACACUAGGAGAACACAACAACACACAUUUGAUUCAUAUAGUUUCUUCUAAUUCAUCGGCAUCGACAAAAAAAUUUAAUAUUCAGAUAAAACUAUACAACUAACAAAAACAAAAUGAAAAUAUAUAAAACUGUAAAAACCACUUAUCCCUUAGCCAUGUAAUCACCAAUCAUAACUAAAUUAUCCAUUAAUAAUAAUGUUAACACAACCACAGGCUAAUGAUCUAUAGUUGUUGAAGCUUUUAUUCUUAAUAAAAAAAAAUAAAAAAAUAUUCCGUGAACUUGAA